rnacentral:rRNA from 1 species
UACGGAGGGUGCAAGCGUUAUCCGGAUUCACUGGGUUUAAAGGGUGCGUAGGUGGGUUGGUAAGUCAGUGGUGAAAUCCCCGAGCUUAACUUGGGAACUGCCAUUGAUACUAUCAGUCUUGAAUACCGUGGAGGUCAGCGGAAUAUGUCAUGUAGCGGUGAAAUGCUUAGAUAUGACAUAGAACACCAAUUGCGAAGGCAGCUUACUACACAGUUAUUGACGCUGAGGCACGAAAGCGUGGGGAUCAAACAGG